rnacentral:rRNA from 1 species
GAUGAACGCUGGCGGCGUGCCUAAUACAUGCAAGUCGAGCGAACAGACGAGGAGCUUGCUCCUCUGACGUUAGCGGCGGACGGGUGAGUAACACGUGGAUAACCUACCUCUAAGUCUGGGAUAACUUCGGGAAACCGGAGCUAAUACUGGAUAAUAUAUUGAACCGCAUGGUUCAAUAGUGAAAGACGGUUUUCCUGUCAGUUAUAGCUGGAUCCGCGCUGCAUUAGCUAGUUGGUAAGGUAACGGCCUACCAAGGCAACGAUGCGUAGCCGACCUGAGAGGGUGAUCGGCCACACUGGAACUGAGACACGGUCCAGACUCCUACGGGAGGCAGCAGUAGGGAAUCUUCCGCAAUGGGCGAAAGCCUGACGCAGCAACGCCGCGUGAGUGAUGAAGGUCUUCGGAUCGUAAAACGCUGUUAUUAGGGAAGAACAGAUGUGUAAGUAACUAUGCACGUCUUGACGGUACCUAAUCAGAAAGCCACGGCUAACUACGUG